CGGCCCCCUGGACAAAGACUGACGCUCAGAUGCGAAAGCGUGGGUAGCAAACAGGAUUAGAUACCCUGGUAGUCCACGCCGUAAACGCUGUCUACUUGGAGGUUGAGGUUUUAGACUUUGGCUUUCGGCGCUAACGCAUUAAGUAGACCGCCUGGGGAGUACGGCCGCAAGGUUAAAACUCAAAUGAAUUGAAGGGGGCCCGCACAAGCGGUGGAGCAUGUGGUUUAAUUCGAUGCAACGCGAAGAACCUUACCUACUCUUGACAUCCAGCGAAGCCUUUAGAGAUAGAGGCGUGCCUUCGGGAGCGCUGAGACAGGUGCUGCAUGGCUGUCGUCAGCUCGUGUUGUGAAAUGUUGGGUUAAGUCCCGCAACGAGCGCAACCCUUAUCCUUGUUUGCCAGCACGUAAUGGUGGGAACUCCGGGGAGACUGCCGGUGAUAAACCGGAGGAAGGUGGGGACGACGUCAAGUCAUCAUGGCCCUUACGAGUAGGGCUACACACGUGCUACAAUGGCAGAUACAGAGGGCAGCGAGACAGCGAUGUUUAGCGAAUCCCUUAAAGUUUGUCGUAGUCCGGAUUGGAGUCUGCAACUCGACUCCAUGAAGUCGGAAUCGCUAGUAAUCGUGGAUCAGAAUGCCACGGUGAAUACGUUCCCGGGCCUUGUACACACCGCCCGU
rnacentral:rRNA from 1 species